ensembl:lncRNA
CGUUUCACUACACGGGGGAGAUUUCCAGACAGCUUCAGCUGACAGAGCUGUGACGAGACGCCCAUUAAGCCCGAAUGAAAAGUAAGGCCGAGCAAAAGAAUGCUGACCUUGAUAACUCUGCAUUAACACUGUACAGGACAGUGACGGACCAACACGGAUGAUCGGGCAGCAGAAGAAAGGGCGUGCCAGAGACAGGAGGAGCAACUGAGGUCAAAAGGCACCUCAGAAUGGACAAAACACAGAAGAAGAUGCAGGUUUCACCUGCGGUGAGCAUGGACACUGGAGAAAGGACUGCCCCAAUUGGGGCCAGGACCAGGACAGACUGAACUAUGAGCAGCAGCAGCAAUGGUCGCAACCGGACUGAAAAGGAGGAGGGCAGGACCCCAGGACACGCUUCAGGCCGUGGUUUACCCAAAACACCAGAACAGGAAAGUGAUAAACACGCCAACAUACACAAACAUACACAUCUACACACACUGACUCAGAAUGAAGAGAAACACACACCUGAACAGACGUGCACUUGUUGAUUGAGUGAGAAAUGACACACACACACAUCAGACAAUGUACACUCAUCAAACAUGACUGACGCCCUGAACGCCUUGAGACAGAUCCAGCAGGCCCAAAGUCAGGCCUAUGUAAAUAAUACAAGUGACUGCUAAAAAGACUACUACUGCCUUUUCACUGUGUAAUACUUUUUGUUAAUAACCAACGGUGCAAUAGACUUCAAUACUUGAAAUACUUGAAAUACUUGCAAUUCCUUUGUAUUCUUAUUCUUAUUUAUUCUAUUUAUCCCUUUUUGUAUUUUUACUUUUAUUUUGUGUUUUUGUAACAUGUAUCCUGCCAUGUCUGAAACUCAUGAUUAACCGUAUAAUUGUUUCCACUGUUGCUGCAUACAUAGCCGUGACAAAUGAUGAUGAUGACCCCGACCUGUUGGAGCAUGAAGACUUUGUGUGAUUAAUGAUGAUGUGACAGAAAAUGUACAACAAGAUGUUACAUACUGAUAUCUCACUUCAAAGUUAUACUGACAACAGGAGGGAAUGUCAAUGGAAAAUUGUACUUAGUAGUCAGUAUAAGCUUUUAAUGAUAUAAGUUUGCAUAUGAUAGAAUACUGUAUGUUGACCUUUUGAUGACUUAGACUGUUGUCCACUACAAGACUGUUUUAUAAAUUCUUUCUCACAGCGAUAAUAGCUGUUAUUAUUUCACUCCUGCCAGGAAGAGGCGAACUGGACACUCUUAUCUGACGCUCCCUAACAAGAAGAGAAGCCGCGUCUUUCUGUAUCCCACAACACACAUUCAUACACCUAAACCGCUCUUAUCUUCACUCCCUACGCACUAACUUUCCUCUGCCUAUGAAUAGACGUAUUCACUGUUGUAUUAUUUUUGCAUAUAAAUAAAGACAAGUGCAAGAACAGAGCGCGCAUCACAGGGCCCCCACUCUGGUGUGAGCGUUCUGUGACCGCCCUUGUAUACAAGUGAAAACCACAGCGUCUGUGAAAACCAGCCUACAAAAUGCAGGACUGCAAUCCAGACUGGGCACCUCUAUCAACCUGGGUCAUACCGAGUUUAAAGCUGCUACCACAUCAAGAUUUGAUCGGUUAAGAGAGAGAGCGAUAUCAAAACAGCCAUGAAACGUCCGCAUAUAUGUGCCCAAGUGUUGUAUUGAAGCAAUCAAGUGAUGAAUAACUGUUUUCCAGUAUGUUGUUUUGCAAUGGGGUUUUUUUGUUGCAUUGUUGAUUUGUUUUUCACUGAAG